rnacentral:rRNA from 1 species
CUGGCUCAGGACGAACGCUGGCGGCGUGCCUAAUACAUGCAAGUCGAACGAAGCUUUCUUUCACCGAAUGCUUGCAUUCACCGAAAGAAGCUUAGUGGCGAACGGGUGAGUAACACGUAGGCAACCUGCCCAAAAGAGGGGGAUAACACUUGGAAACAGGUGCUAAUACCGCAUAACCAUGAACACCGCAUGAUGUUCAUGUAAAAGACGGCUUUUGCUGUCACUUUUGGAUGGGCCUGCGGCGUAUUAACUUGUUGGUGGGGUAACGGCCUACCAAGGUGAUGAUACGUAGCCGAACUGAGAGGUUGAUCGGCCACAUUGGGACUGAGACACGGCCCAAACUCCUACGGGAGGCAGCAGUAGGGAAUCUUCCACAAUGGACGAAAGUCUGAUGGAGCAACGCCGCGUGAAUGAAGAAGGCCUUCGGGUCGUAAAAUUCUGUUGUCAGAGAAGAACGUGCGUGAGAGUAACUGUUCACGUAUUGACGGUAUCUGACCAGAAAGCCACGGCUAACUACGUGCCAGCAGCCGCGGUAAUACGUAGGUGGCGAGCGUUGUCCGGAUUUAUUGGGCGUAAAGGGAACGCAGGCGGUCUUUUAAGUCUGAUGUGAAAGCCUUCGGCUUAACCGAAGUAGUGCAUUGGAAACUGGAAGACUUGAGUGCAGAAGAGGAGAGUGGAACUCCAUGUGUAGCGGUGAAAUGCGUAGAUAUAUGGAAGAACACCAGUGGCGAAAGCGGCUCUCUGGUCUGUAACUGACGCUGAGGUUCGAAAGCGUGGGUAGCAAACAGGAUUAGAUACCCUGGUAGUCCACGCCGUAAACGAUGAGUGCUAAGUGUUGGAGGGUUUCCGCCCUUCAGUGCUGCAGCUAACGCAUUAAGCACUCCGCCUGGGGAGUACGACCGCA